UCUCUGAUAGUAUAUCGGUUAGUACACGCGCCUGUCAUUGCCAGCGAUUCUGGUCGCGCGAAAGCUGGGUUCGACUCCCAGUCAGAGAG